rnacentral:lncRNA from 1 species
CCUCUCUUCCCUUGCUCUGUUGGAAGUUGGUAGAUAUGCUCCGGACUGUACAGCCUGGUACUUGCCUUUGUCCAUUGCCAUUUCUGGGACCACCCUUCAAAGCCACACAUUGUAAAAUGAAGGCACAGGGGCCAUGCCCCCAUUCUUGGCCAAGCCCUGAGGCUCUGCUGCCCAACUCUUCUAGGCCCCUUGACCUCUUGUCCACCAGGGCACAGGGCAGUGGAAGAUACUGGGAAGGGGCCAACCUCACAUAGCUCACGACCUUAGAGGAGCAUUAAG